UCUGACGGCACUGUAUUGAUGCCUAUUUA
rnacentral:piRNA from 1 species